rnacentral:rRNA from 1 species
GACGAACGCUGGCGGCGUGCUUAACACAUGCAAGUCGAGCGGUAAGGCCCUUUCGGGGGUACACGAGCGGCGAACGGGUGAGUAACACGUGGGUGACCUGCCCUUAGCUCUGGGAUAAGCCUGGGAAACUGGGUCUAAUACCGGNUAUGACUCCAUAACGCAUGUUGUGGGGUGGAAAGCCUUGUGCGGCUAGGGAUGGGCCCGCGGCCUAUCAGCUUGUUGGUGGGGUGAUGGCCACCAAGGCGACGACGGGUAGCCGGCCUGAGAGGGCGACCGGCCACACUGGGACUGAGACACGGCCCAGACUCCUACGGGAGGCAGCAGUGGGGAAUCUUGCGCAAUGGGCGAAAGCCUGACGCAGCGACGCCGCGUGGGGA